rnacentral:rRNA from 1 species
GACGAACGCUGGCGGCGUGCCUAAUACAUGCAAGUCGAGCGGACCUCUUCGGAGGUCAGCGGCGGACGGGUGAGUAACACGUGGGCAACCUGCCUGUAAGACUGGGAUAACUUCGGGAAACCGGAGCUAAUACCGGAUAAUCCUUUUCCUCUCAUGUGGGAAAGCUGAAAGACGGCGCAAGCUGUCACUUACAGAUGGGCCCGCGGCGCAUUAGCUAGUUGGUGGGGUAACGGCCCACCAAGGCGACGAUGCGUAGCCGACCUGAGAGGGUGAUCGGCCACACUGGGACUGAGACACGGCCCAGACUCCUACGGGAGGCAGCAGUAGGGAAUCUUCCGCAAUGGACGAAAGUCUGACGGAGCAACGCCGCGUGAGCGAAGAAGGCCUUCGGGUCGUAAAGCUCUGCUGUCAGGGAAGAACAAGUACCGGAGUAACUGCCGGUACCUUGACGGUACCUGACCAGAAAGCCACGGCUAACUACGUGCCAGCCGCCGCCGUAAGAC